AGGCCUAAGGGCCCUUCAAGCCCAAAAAUCUGACUUGCAAUCAGACACACUAUUAGACC
rnacentral:tRNA from 1 species